rnacentral:rRNA from 1 species
UACAACAUAGAUUUAAUGCAUUGGAUCCUGUUAGAAAUCCAUAGUUAAGCAUGCUCAAGAUAGAGUAGUACUGGGAUGGGUGAUCGCUUGGGAAGUCUUAGUGUUUUAC